rnacentral:rRNA from 1 species
UACGUAGGUGGCAAGCGUUGUCCGGAUUUAUUGGGCUUAAAGGGUGCGUAGGCGGUCCUACAAGUGAGAUGUGAAAUCCCCAGGCUUAACCUGGGAACUGCAUCCGAUACUGGAUGGCUUGAAUCCGGGAGAGGGAUGCAGAAUUCCAGGUGUAGCGGUGAAAUGCGUAGAUAUCUGGAGGAAUACCGGUGGCGAAGGCGGCAUCCUGGACCGGCAUUGACGCUGAUGAGCGAAAGCUAGGGGAGCAAACGGG